rnacentral:rRNA from 1 species
AUCAGCCUUUUGGGUGUGAUUUUGUGGAGCGUGAAGAGUUAAACGCCUUCAUGCCUGCAUAUUCGUGCACUUUGGGUGUACUUGCCCGUAUGGUUGGUUAACAUCAAUUUUGGUGGUCAUAAAAUGACUGGAGGAAUGUAGCUUCGAUCUUGUAUUGAAGUGUUAUAGCCUUCGGUAGAUGUGAUGAUCGAGAUUGAGGAUUGCAACGGAUACCCUUCGGGGCUACCUGUCUGGUCUCUGAUCGUUGCUCUGGUGCCGAAAGCUUGCUUACGGUUAUCAAAGUCGAUGGUCAAUAGGUUAGAACAGGUUAAAUUCGUUAAGGAUGUUGACGUAAUGGCUUU